rnacentral:lncRNA from 1 species
AACGACGGCCACGACUCAGCUGUGAUUUUGUUUCGAAGUGUUUCUGCGCUAUAAAAUAUCAAUAUUGAACUACAUAGCUGAUGCUUGUGAAACCUGUAAGCAAUAUUUUGCAGUUUUCUUUCGUGCUCUAAUCAGCAGGAGCAGAGUGCCGUACAUUUCAAGAUUAUUCUACCUGAAUUAUUUACAUAUUGUUUACAUAUUGUUUAUACGAAUCUUCAUCAGACUGGACAACGUGAGCAAUCAAAUACGCAACCAGAGAGAAACCUGAGAGCUGAUGUUCGGAGAUGGAAAGUAAUAUUACCUAUUUAUUUAGCACCUGAAAACAAUUAAAGAUUAUGCGACACAUUUGUUCGUGAAUGAAUUGAUUAACAUAGAACCAUGGAAAAAGUAUCCGUUAUCAUGGCAUCCACCGAUAUGUCAAUCACCAAAGUCGUUUAAUGAGCGAUAUAUUACACGUACAUUAUUAGAUGCAACUAUGCAGCAGCAUUCGUCAGAUACUUCACUAAAACCAUUUCUACAUAAUUUGGUUCAUACCACGGACUUGGCAGAAAUUGAUCAAAGAAUUUUAACGGCAAUUGAAACGGUCGCAGCUCCAUAGGUGUUGUCUAUGCUUGCAUCUUUACAUUGGAGAAUAAUGGGAAAACCUCGUUUAGCCUUAGAUUGUUUGCAGUUAACAUUGGAAAGUGUUCCUGAAGAAUUUAAAGAUGUACCUUUAGUUAGUAUAGCUUUGAUACACCAUAAAAUAGGUUUAAUUGACGAUGCUAUAAGAAUUACGGACAAAGCCUUACGAAUUAAUGCUGUGCAGGGAUAAAUUGUUGGAGUAGUCAUAAAAUUGGAUUAUUGGACAUAUCAUAUUACAAUAAAAAAGAACAAUCGCGCCAAGGUCUUACACAUUCAUUAUUACUUCCUAAUAGCGCAACUGAACUAGACGAGCCACAUGUGCAUAUGACUAGAAUUUCAGAUAACAUAAAUUACGACAUGUUACGUACAUACACUGACUCAUCCAAUAAGAUAUCUGACAAUCAAAAAGAGUCCUACUAUCCGAACAAAGAUGAAUGCGACGAGCUUAAAUAUAAAGACUGGGCCGCUUCUCUAUUUGUAUUUCACAAAUUUAUAUGACAAAACUUGAUGUAUGUAGUCGGGUGACUUCGACACUGCUGCAAGUUUCUAUAGAUCUUCGCUUUAACUUGACCCAAAUUUUGAGCCUGCUAUUACAAGGUUGCGAGUAAUACCAUGUUUUUUAUUAUUUGAUGAUGACAAAAAUUUACAAUGAGUGAGAUAUUGCGAAAUACUUUAUAAUACGACUUUUCACAAAUUGUUAAUGCGAAAUAAUUCGAUGAAAGUGCCUUUUUAUAUUGUUAAUACGCAAUAUUUAAAAAAUGUACGUAAGUAUUAAAAACAAGAAAGAAGCAAUUAUGUAGCAAUUACAUGAUACUACGUUAUUAUGUGUAUUACAAUAAAUUUAAAAUGAAGGGAAAAAAUAGUAAUGACACAUACUUAAUUGUUAAAUUAUUACAAAAUUUUAUGGAUAAGAUACUUAUAUUUUCACAUCAAAUUUGUAAGUUUAACAGAAUACAGAACAGAUGAAACAUAAGCUUUUUCUUGUUGUAAAAAUGAUACACUUUUAGAUGUAUUGUUUAUCUGUUAUUGUUUAUCCCAUAUGAAUGUGAUAACUUCUUGUUGUACUUGUGAUCAUGAAGCAAUAUAUUAUUAAAAUGUAAAAAGCAUUAAAUAAAAAAAUAAAUUUUGCAAUGAA